GACGUAGGUGGCAAGCGUUGUCCGGAAUUAUUGGGCGUAAAGCGCGCGCAGGCGGUCCUUUAAGUCUGAUGUGAAAUCCCGUGGCUUAACCACGGGCGGUCAUUGGAAACUGGGGGACUUGAGUGCAGAAGAGAAGAGCGGAAUUCCACGUGUAGCGGUGAAAUGCGUAGAGAUGUGGAGGAACACCAGUGGCGAAGGCGGCUCUUUGGUCUGUAACUGACGCUGAGGCGCGAAAGCGUGGGGAGCGAACAGG
rnacentral:rRNA from 1 species